AUUGAACGCUGGCGGCAUGCUUAACACAUGCAAGUCGAACGGAAACAGCAGGAGCUUGCUCCUGGCUGUCGAGUGGCGGACGGGUGAGUAACGCGUGGGAAUCUACCCAGUAGUGGAGGAUAGCCCAGAGAAAUUUGGAUUAAUACUGCAUACGAUCUACGGAUGAAAGGUGGCCUCUCCUUGGAAGCUAUCGCUAUUGGAUGAGCCCGCGUUAGAUUAGCUAGUUGGUGGGGUAAAGGCCUACCAAGGCAACGAUCUAUAGCUGGUCUGAGAGGACGACCAGCCACAUCGGGACUGAGACACGGCCCGGACUCCUACGGGAGGCAGCAGUGGGGAAUAUUGGACAAUGGGCGCAAGCCUGAUCCAGCAAUGCCGCGUGUGUGAAGAAGGCCCGAGGGUUGUAAAGCACUUUCAAUUGUGAAGAAGUUAAUAAGCUUAAUACGCUUGUUAAUUGACGUUAACUUUAGAAGAAGCACCGGCUAACUCUGUGCCAGCAGCCGCGGUAAUACGGAGGGUGCGAGCGUUAAUCGGAAUUACUGGGCGUAAAGCGCGCGUAGGCGGUUUGGUCAGUCAGAUGUGAAAGCCCUGGGGCUUAACCUGGGAACUGCAUUUGAUACUGCCAAGCUAGAGUAUGGUAGAGGGAAGUGGAAUUCCGGGUGUAGCGGUGAAAUGCGUAGAUAUCCGGAGGAACACCAGUGGCGAAGGCGGCUUCCUGGACCAAUACUGACGCUGAGGUGCGAAAGCGUGGGAGCAAACAGGAUUAGAUACCCUGGUAGUCCACGCCCUAAACGAUGGGUGUUAGUCGUUGGUGCCCCUAGUGGCAUCAGUGAUGCAGCUAACGCAUUAAACACCCCGCCUGGGGAGUACGGUCGCAAGAUUAAAACUCAAAGGAAUAGACGGGGACCCGCACAAGUGGUGGAGCAUGUAGUUUAAUUCGAAGAUACGCGAAGAACCUCACCUGGGCUUGACAUCCCAAGAACCUUCCAGAGAUGGAGGGGUGCUAGUUUACUAGAACUUGGUGACAGGUGCUGCACGGCUGUCGUCAGCUCGUGUCGUGAGAUGUUGGGUUAAGUCCCGCAACGAGCGCAACCCUCGUCCUUAGUUGCUAACAGUUUAGCUGAGCACUCUAAGGAGACUGCCUUCGUAAGGAGGAGGAAGGUGAGGACGACGUCAAGUCAUCAUGGCCCUUAUGCCCAGGGCGACACACGUGCUACAAUGGGGAGGACAAUGAGAAGCGAUACCGCGAGGUGGAGCAAAUCUAUAAACCUAAUCUCAGUUCGGAUUGUAGUCUGCAACUCGACUACAUGAAGCUGGAAUCACUAGUAAUCGUAGAUCAGCUAUGCUACGGUGAAUACGUUCCCGGGUCUUGUACUCACCGCCCGUCACACCAUGGGAG
rnacentral:rRNA from 1 species